rnacentral:rRNA from 1 species
GAUGAACGCUGGCGGCGUGCCUAAUACAUGCAAGUCGAGCGAACGGACGAGAAGCUUGCUUCUCUGAUGUUAGCGGCGGACGGGUGAGUAACACGUGGAUAACCUACCUAUAAGACUGGGAUAACUUCGGGAAACCGUAGCUAAUACCGGAUAAUAUUUUGAACCGCAUGGUUCAAAAGUGAAAGACGGUCUUGCUGUCACUUAUAGAUGGAUCCGCGCUGCAUUAGCUAGUUGGUAAGGUAACGGCUUACCAAGGCAACGAUGCAUAGCCGACCUGAGAGGGUGAUCGGCCACACUAGAACUGAGACACGGUCCAGACUCCUACGAGAGGCAGCAGUAGGGAAUCUUCCGCAAUGGGCGAAAGCCUGACGGAGCAACGCCGCGUGAGUGAUGAAGGUCUUCGGAUCGUAAAACUCUGUUAUUAGGGAAGAACAUAUGUGUAAGUAACUGUGCACAUCUUGACGGUACCUAAUCAGAAAGCCACGGCUAACUACGUG